UGGGGAAUAUUGCACAAUGGGCGCAAGCCUGAUGCAGCAACGCCGCGUGAGGGAUGACGGCCUUCGGGUUGUAAACCUCUUUUAGCAAGGAAGAAGCGAAAGUGACGGUACUUGCAGAAAAAGCGCCGGCUAACUACGUGCCAGCAGCCGCGGUAAUACGUAGGGCGCAAGCGUUAUCCGGAAUUAUUGGGCGUAAAGAGCUCGUAGGCGGUUUGUCGCGUCUGCUGUGAAAACCCGAGGCUCAACCUC
rnacentral:rRNA from 1 species